CAGAAGGAGUGGGAGGUGGGAGUCUCCAGCAGGGACAGAGUUGCCUGACCAGGGAUCGAACCCGUGUCCCCUGCAUUGAAAGCGUGAAGUCUUAAAUACUGGACUGCCAGAGAAGUCCUCAUUCAUUCAUUUCUUUAAGAGGCCUUAGUCCCCAGCUUCUGAGCUCAACCUGAGGCAGCUACGAGCAGAGAAGAUGGAAUAUUCUACUCCAUUCUACUGUGGGAGGUGGGUCAGGCACAACCUCUGACUUCUGGAACUUUGUAAAGCGAAAAGAUGUUUCACGAACAGGCAGGACAGCCUCAUGGUUCAACAUUCAAAAGGCAAAAGAUGACAAGAUUUUUGACACUGAAAAGUUUAAAUGACAAAUGCAAGAACCUUGACCGCUUCUCCACCCCUACCAGCGAGGUUGCUGGUUUGAACUCAGUGCUUGGCCAAUUUGUUCUUCACAGCCCGCAACUCCAACUUCCUCAGGUCCCUGGUGCCAGAAGACCCCAUCUCUCCCUGUUUUAGGGCCAUAC